rnacentral:rRNA from 1 species
ACCGUUAACUCAUGCAAGUCGAGCGGAUACGAGUUAUCUGAACCUUCGGGGAACGAUAACGGCGUCGAGCGGCGGACGGGUGAGUAAUGCCUAGGAAAUUGCCCUGAUGUGGGGGAUAACCAUUGGAAACGAUGGCUAAUACCGCAUGAUGCCUACGGGCCAAAGAGGGGGACCUUCGGGCCUCUCGCGUCAGGAUAUGCCUAGGUGGGAUUAGCUAGUUGGUGAGGUAAGGGCUCACCAAGGCGACGAUCCCUAGCUGGUCUGAGAGGAUGAUCAGCCACACUGGAACUGAGACACGGUCCAGACUCCUACGGGAGGCAGCAGUGGGGAAUAUUGCACAAUGGGCGCAAGCCUGAUGCAGCCAUGCCGCGUGUGUGAAGAAGGCCUUCGGGUUGUAAAGCACUUUCAGUCGUGAGGAAGGUGGUGUAGUUAAUAGCUGCAUUAUUUGACGUUAGCGACAGAAGAAGCACCGGCUAACUCCGUGCCAGCAGCCGCGGUAAUACGGAGGGUGCGAGCGUUAAUCGGAAUUACUGGGCGUAAAGCGCAUGCAGGUGGUUUGUUAAGUCAGAUGUGAAAGCCCGGGGCUCAACCUCGGAAUAGCAUUUGAAACUGGCAGACUAGAGUACUGUAGAGGGGGGUAGAAUUUCAGGUGUAGCGGUGAAAUGCGUAGAGAUCUGAAGGAAUACCGGUGGCGAAGGCGGCCCCCUGGACAGAUACUGACACUCAGAUGCGAAAGCGUGGGGAGCAAACAGGAUUAGAUACCCUGGUAGUCCACGCCGUAAACGAUGUCUACUUGGAGGUUGUGGCCUUGAGCCGUGGCUUUCGGAGCUAACGCGUUAAGUAGACCGCCUGGGGAGUACGGUCGCAGAUUAAACUCAAUGAAUUUGACGGGGGCCCGCACAAGCGGUGGAGCAUGUGUUUAAUUCGAUGCAACGCGAGACCUUACCUAC